GACGAACGCUGGCGGCGUGCUUAACACAUGCAAGUCGAACGGAAAGGCCCUGCUUUUGUGGGGUGCUCGAGUGGCGAACGGGUGAGUAACACGUGAGUAACCUGCCCUUGACUUUGGGAUAACUUCAGGAAACUGGGGCUAAUACCGGAUAGGAGCUCCUGCUGCAUGGUGGGGGUUGGAAAGUUUCGGCGGUUGGGGAUGGACGCGCGGCUUAUCAGCUUGUUGGUGGGGUAGUGGCUUACCAAGGCUUUGACGGGUAGCCGGCCUGAGAGGGUGACCGGCCACAUUGGGACUGAGAUACGGCCCAGACGCCUACGGGAGGCAGCAGUGGGGAAUAUUGCACAAUGGGCGGAAGCCUGAUGCAGCAACGCCGCGUGCGGGAGGACGGCCUUCGGGUUGUAAACCGCUUUCGCCUGUGACGAAGCGUGAGUGACGGUAAUGGGUAAAGAAGCACCGGCUAACUACGUG
rnacentral:rRNA from 1 species